AUUGAACGCUGGCGGCAUGCCUUACACAUGCAAGUCGAACGGCAGCACGGGAGCAAUCCUGGUGGCGAGUGGCGAACGGGUGAGUAAAGUAUCGGAACGUGCCCAGUCGUGGGGGAUAACGUAGCGAAAGUUACGCUAAUACCGCAUACGAUCUAUGGAUGAAAGAGGGGGAUCGCAAGACCUCGCGUGAUUGUAGCGGCCGAUAUCAGAUUAGGUAGUUGGUGGGGUAAAGGCUCACCAAGCCGACGAUCUGUAGCUGGUCUGAGAGGACGACCAGCCACACUGGGACUGAGACACGGCCCAGACUCCUACGGGAGGCAGCAGUGGGGAAUUUUGGACAAUGGGCGAAAGCCUGAUCCAGCCAUGCCGCGUGCAGGAUGAAGGCCUUCGGGUUGUAAACUGCUUUUGUACGGAACGAAAAGGUUUGGCCUAAUAAGCUGAGCUCAUGACGGUACCGUAAGAAUAAGCACCGGCUAACUACGUGCCAGCCGCCGCCGUAA
rnacentral:rRNA from 1 species